ACACGACUACAUUAGAUACCCGUGUAGUCCCAGCCCUAAACGAUGCGCGUUAGGUGUAUCGGUGACCACGAGUCACCGAGGUGCUGUAGGGUAGCCGUUAAACUCGCUGCCUGGGAGUACGGUCGCAAGGCUGAAACUUAAAGGAAUUGGCGGGGAGCACCACAAGAGGUGGAGGCUGCGGUUCAAUUGGACUCAACGCCGGAAAACUCAUCGGGAGCGACAGCAGUAUGAUUGCCAGGUUGAUGACCUUGCUUGACAAGCUG
rnacentral:rRNA from 1 species